ACAUAAUUAGUAUAUUAAAUAUAUUGGAUUUAGAUUUCAAAGAAAUUAUUAUUAUGUU
rnacentral:tRNA from 1 species